GGGACGAGUAUCGCUCCGUAACAUAGGGUACACCAACGUUUCGGUGCAAUGUAUUUCCUAGACUAGCCACAGUUCAACCAGUUAAGAGCUAUGCUAAUAUUAGAAGAGAUAAAAAGAAAGCUACGAUCGAACCUUUACAUAGACACGCAAGAAGUAAUAAUAUUUUGAAUCGUAAACAGCUGUAUUGCACGAAUUGCACGAAUCCAUAGCUACACUCAUCCCAAACGGGUGCACGUUAGGGCAUCUAUGCGGCACCCGGGUCGUUCUACCCUGGGUGCACUUCGAACGAACUGAAGCACACAUGCAAUGCGCUCUUUAAGUCCCCUGCGCAUGUGCGAAGAACAUCAGCAACGUUGCAAACCUGAGAGAUGGAGGGACGGAAGCGAUCACUUACCAUUGCUUGGAUUUGCGGAUUCCUUAAACUACAGGCCUCUGUCCUUGUUGAAGGUGGGAGUCACUCUUUUUAUUUUGAAACAAGUGCUACACCAAACAAAUUAUGGCUUUCAUCUCUGAUGGUGGCGUUACUUGCAGUUUUUGCAUAAAUAAAGAUAGAU